UGGGGAAUAUUGGACAAUGGGGGGAACCCUGAUCCAGUCAUGCCGCGUGUGUGAAGAAGGCCUUAUGGUUGUAAAGCACUUUAAGCGAGGAGGAGGGUACUGGUAUUAAUACUACCAGGUACUGGACGUUACUCGCAGAAUAAGCACCGGCUAACUCUGUGCCAGCAGCCGCGGUAAUACAGAGGGUGCGAGCGUUAAUCGGAUUUACUGGGCGUAAAGCGUGCGUAGGCGGCUAAUUGAGUCGGAUGUGAAAUCCCCGAGCUUAACUUGGGAAUUGCAUUCGAUACUGGUUAGCUAGAGUGUGGGAGAGGAUGGUAGAAUUCCAGGUGUAGCGGUGAAAUGCGUAGAGAUCUGGAGGAAUACCGAUGGCGAAGGCAGCCAUCUGGCCUAACACUGACGCUGAGGUACGAAAGCAUGGGGAGCAAACAGG
rnacentral:rRNA from 1 species